CUGACCUCAAAUCAGGUAGGACUACCCGCUGAACUUAAGCAUAUCAAUAAGCGGAGGAAAAGAAACUAACAAGGAUUCCCCUAGUAACUGCGAGUGAAGCGGGAAAAGCUCAAAUUUAAAAUCUGGCGGUUUCUGGACUGUCCGAGUUGUAAUCUAGAGAAGUGUUUACCUGUGCUGGACCGUGUACAAGUCUCCUGGAAUGGAGCAUCAUAGAGGGUGAGAAUCCCGUCUUUGACACGGACUACCUGUACAUUACGGGUGCGCUCUCAAAGAGUCGAGUUGUUUGGGAAUGCAGCUCAAAAUGGGUGGUAAAUGCCAUCUAAAGCUAAAUAUUGGCGAGAGACCGAUAGCGAACAAGUACCGUGAGGGAAAGAUGAAAAGAACUUUGGAAAGAGAGUUAAACAGUACGUGAAAUUGCUGAAAGGGAAACGCUUGAAGUCAGUCGCGUUGGCUGGAAAUCAACCUUGCUUUUGCUUGGUGUAUUUUCUGGUCCGACGGGUCAGCAUCAAUUUUGACCAUUGGAUAAAGUCUUUUGGGAAUGUGGCAUCUUUUGGAUGUGUUAUAGCCCAUGGUCGCAUACAGUGGUUGGGAUUGAGGAACUCAGCACGCCGCAAGGCCGGGUUUCGACCACGUUUCCGUGCUUAGGAUGCUGGCAUAAUGGCUUUAAUCGACCCGUC
rnacentral:rRNA from 1 species